rnacentral:rRNA from 1 species
CAGCGCAACCCUUGUCAUUAGUUGCUACAUUCAGUUGGGCGACUCAAUGAGACUGCCGGUGACAAGCCGGAGGAAGGUGGGGAUGACGUCAAGUCCUCAUGGCCCUUAUAGGUGGGGCUACACACGUCAUACAAUGGCUGGUACAAAGGGUUGCCAACCCGCGAGGGGGAGCCAAUCCCAUAAAGCCAGUCGUAGUCCGGAUCGUAGUCUGCAACUCGACUACGUGAAGUCGGAAUCGCUAGUAAUCGUGGAUCAGAAUGUCACGGUGAAUACGUUCCCGGGUCUU